rnacentral:rRNA from 1 species
CCUACGGGAGGCAGCAGUGGGGAAUUUUGGACAAUGGACGCAAGUCUGAUCCAGCCAUUCCGCGUGCAGGAUGAAGGCCCUCGGGUUGUAAACUGCUUUUGUACGGAACGAAAAGGUCUCUCCUAAUACGAGGGGCUCAUGACGGUACCGUAAGAAUAAGCACCGGCUAACUACGUGCCAGCAGCCGCGGUAAUACGUAGGGUGCAAGCGUUAAUCGGAAUUACUGGGCGUAAAGCGUGCGCAGGCGGUUAUAUAAGUCAGAUGUGAAAUCCCCGGGCUCAACCUGGGAACUGCAUUUGAGACUGUAUAGCUAGAGUACGGUAGAGGGGGAUGGAAUUCCGCGUGUAGCAGUGAAAUGCGUAGAUAUGCGGAGGAACACCGAUGGCGAAGGCAAUCCCCUGGACCUGUACUGACGCUCAUGCACGAAAGCGUGGGGAGCAAACAGGAUUAGAUACCCUGGUAGUCCACGCCCUAAACGAUGUCAACUGGUUGUUGGGUCUUAACUGACUCAGUAACGAAGCUAACGCGUGAAGUUGACCGCCUGGGGAGUACGGCCGCAAGGUUGAAACUCAAAUGAAUUGACGG